rnacentral:lncRNA from 1 species
AUAACUUGACAAGGUAGAGUGCAAAAGAUAGAAGAAGACUCCAGUCAGAUCCUUUGCACCUACAUGAUGCUCUUGCCUAAGAGCACAGAUCUACCUGUGGAUAAGGGGACUGCUUUUGGAAUCGACUGAGGCAGCCUCUUUUCCCGACGAUGAUGUGACAAUUAGCCUCUCAAGGUGAGCUGUUGAGUUGCAGUAGAAAAUUCUUGCCACCUGCAGAUCUUUGAACAUACAAAAGGCUUAGGAGUUUAUUGUUUCGCGGCAUGUUGUUGAAACAAAAUUAUUUGAUCUAAAAUGGCAAAAUACUCUGGAAAAAAGGCCAAGAUUAGAUACAGCAUGGAUGGUUAUUGCAAUGGCUUGUGAGUUAUCUGCAUCCAGUGAAUGCUAUGAAGAUGAUGGUCUGGUCUUUCUCAUUGCAAGAAGAAAUUUUGUUGUAGAACAUGUCUACUGGCUUUGGAUUUCAUCAUUCAUUUGGUAUAUUUUUUCCCAGCACCAGAGCACGGUAUUACCACGAAACCUUGUACAGAGUUCUAACCAAUUCUUUCUCAUGUAACAAAAAUUAGUUUCUAUUUUUAUUCCAGUAGAAUUUUGUAGGAUAUCUUCAAGAGCAUGUUGUAUAGCUGUCAGGUUGAGAAAUAGAAAUCAGGUCUCUGUAUUGUAACUGUAUCAUAAGUGAAGAGCAGGCCGAGUUAGAAGUAUUGAUAGUUUCAUUAUCUUGUUAAAUCCAAUGCACAGUGUAUGAACUGUAGAAGGUUCUUGUUUCAUUAAGUUACCCAUGUCCAGCUCAUAAAAUUGAGCACUUCGGACUAUGGACAGACAGAGGGGUGUAAGCAGUUUCAGUUUAUAAACUGCGAAACAUGUGGGAUCAAACCAAACAAAACCAGAAAACGUUGUCUUGUUCAGUUUGGGGACGUCCUUCCUGAACAAGAUAGUAGAAACAUUUCAAACUUGCAAAGAUAGUGUAGCAUUAGCUAUUGUAUGGGGAUGUCCUUCCUGGCUAGUUGCCUAAUCAUUUUCCAUCUCACUGAUCAUUCAGUUCUUAAUAUUCUAUAAGUUUGUGUGGUUUAAAAAGUCAGGUCCAGUUGAACCGUACAGUAGUGAUUAAGAUUUUUCUACAAUUGAAUUAGUUCCUUCUUAUGUAGUUUACCAUUAUAUGAGUGCUCUGAGCUUAUUUCUGUCCAAUGAUCCCAUGGAUUCGAAUCAUAACAUUCCUUUAUCAUGACAAUGAGAUGAUCUCAUGGGUUUUCAAAAUAAAAAGAGGAUUCAGGCCUUGAACUAACGCAUAAUAUACAUCUUUCAUGGGGUCUACAAAGAUAAGCUGUUGUCUAUUGUUUUUUUAUUCUUUAACUUUUUAGUUGAGAAACGAUAAAACAAGUUCAUGAAUGAAAUAAAUAAAUUAUAUUGGGAACAGCUCCCACAUUUACAAUCAGGAACACAUGCAAAUAUUCGUCUAAAUACACGAUCCAAAAUGAAAGGAAAUAAACAUAUGCAUUUAUAUUAGAGAAAAAGAUGUAUACAGUGACAGUUUUAUACAUUAUUAUUACAUCAUUCACUAUUGUUAUUUAAUUAUUAUUAACUUUCAGAAAAAGUAAUCCAAAUGAAUGGUGGAUGAUGGGUGAUAAAGUGUAUGAGUAUAAAUUUUUAUACUGUCAGUAUAUAGAUUUUACACUCUUUGUGUUAUGAGUGUAAUCAUUAUCUAAUGUCACUAUAAAGAUUCAUACGCAUCAAAUAUGAAUGAUAAAUAAUAUAAUAAUAGUAUAAAACACUUUUACAUGAUCCAUGCUUAUUAGAUAAAAAGAAUUACAAGUAGUACGUAGUUUAUAUCGAUAUAAAGUGGUAACCAAUGUCUCUGAGUUACCUUUUCUAUUUUUAGGUAGUUGAUUAGUUAGAGGAAGUAACAUGGUCAACAAGUUACUUCCUAUUAUUAUUUCCCUUGUAAGCUUUCCUCAUUUUGAUACAAUUGUAAUUGUCCUAGUCAUGACAUGGUGCUAUUAUGCACCAACUGUCAAGGGUGAUAAAAAUUAAGUACAAAUAUGAAUGAAAAUGCUCUCUAAAGUCAUUGAAGGCUAUGACUUUCCAGGAGUGUGAUAGUGCUCUGGCAACUCGGAAUUGGAACAAGGCCUCAAUAGAAGUUGCAUUUGCUGAGAGAAUGAAUAAGGAGUUGUAGAUAUAGGUGUGAAGGAUUGGUUUGUAAUAGUUUAUUAUAGAAGUGAAGGAUGGUGAGAAAGUUAGUUUAUGGUGGUUGCAGUGAUUGAAUUUUGGAUGCUUUUGCAAUGAGGAGAAAGGUGAGGGUGAAGAUUGUGAGGGAGGAGGGAUGAGCUUGCGAGAAGAACAUUAAAGCAGAGAAUGGAAAUGCUAAAAAAGCUGAGGUUGAGGUGACAUUGUUUAAAUAUAUUUUCAACUAUAUUUUAGUAUUUGGGUUGAUAUUGUAUUAAACUAAUUAUAAUUAGAGUUAGUUUUAGUAGUUUUAGUUAGUUAAGUUUUGUUUCCAUGUAUAUAUAGUUUAUUUUCAUUGUAAAUUAUCAUUCAAUUUAAUGAGAAAUAUUAUUCUUUCUCCUUCUUUCUUCUUUAAGAUUCUAUUUCUCAUUCAAGCAUGGCUCCUACCACUUUAAUAUGGUAUCAGAAUAAUGUAAUUAUUUCUUCUGUUGUUUAUCCAUCAAUCUCUAUUCUUGUACAUUCUUUGCUUAUGAGCCAGUGUAUCAAAUUGCGGACCACAUCACGUGAUGCGGCCGCAAUAUUGUGGUUGCGAUGACCGUCGCAACCGUAUCACACCGCAAUUGCAGCGUGAUCCUGAUUCACAGUGAUGCGACCGCAACAGGUCACGAUGCAACCGCAUCAGACUGCAUUUGGACCGCAUCGGGACGCAACGGAACCGCAUCAGGCUGCAUCAGACCGCAUCGAUGUCAAAAAUAUUAAAUGUUAUUUGCUUAUGUUCCAAUGGAGGUCAAAUUCAAGAGGAAAAAAACAGCCAAAGGGUUUUGUGAUGACUUAAUUCUAUGGCAAUGAAAGAAUAAGUGAAACAAGUGAGACACGAGAUGGAGACAAGUGAUAAGACCUUAGAACGCCCCAAGAGAGUGAUCUCUUGAUAAGUUCUGGUUUGGAAUGCCUCAAAGAACCCAUGAAAAUCGAACUAUGCACUAAGCACAUAAGCACAUAAGCUCUAAAGCUUUCUUGUUAUAUGUUGUUAUUCCAUUGAUUCAGGUUGCUACAUAUAAAGGUAGAUGCAUCAGACAAGAAGCCAACACGUCGGAGUCGUUGUAGGGCCUGUGAGUCUUCUCGCUGCCAAAAAACAUUUUACUGAACAACUUCCCUCUAGGGUCAAACAUGAAUCUUACAUAUUCACCCUUGUGAUUUAUUGGAUUAGUUCAGCCUUGCUAUUUUAAUCGUUGAAUCCCCCUUAGCAGACAUCACUAUUGCUUGGAGCGACUGAGAUGAUCGAAGUAGACUGAACUCGAACCCGGAGGAGUGCAAACGAUGUUUUGGAUAAAGUGGGAACAACUGUAAAACCCAAGAUCUGUUCACAUGUAGUAAUGUACUCCGGAGACAAACCAUAAAGGGCAAGGAUCAUAAAGAAGGUAUUGUGUUGCUCAAGUUGUUUCUUCUUUUCAGCAGGGCAAAUGUAGCCGUAGGUAGAAGUUCAAUGAAAUGAUGAAGUGCGGCAUGAACAUGAGCAAAAUAGCCGGACAUAGGAUCAUCAACACAUGAUGAAGUUCAUUGAAUGUCAUUGGGAUAGAGUUCCUUAGCCUGACUCCAAAUCGAUUCAUAACACAUGAAAUGGGGACCGAAAACCAGUUUGGUAGGGGAUGAAGUGUUGACAUGAUAACACUGCACAAUGUGCAUCAACCUUCUCUUACUUUGGACGUUCAGUCGCCGACACAUCUUUAGCUUUUUUAGCGAGAUGUUCUUAAUACCCUUGACCAUCUAAUUGAUUAUAUCAUAUAUACACAGAUUUUAUAGUCCAUAGGAAAGGACUGGAUAUUGUUUCAUUGUUCUUGCAUGUUCAAUUUUAUAUGUGGAAAAAAGGUGAGACAGUUGAUGAAAAUGGAUGUUGGUCUUGGACGGUUCUGAGGUACCAGAAGCCGCCAUAAGUGACUAACUAAUCAGGCUUGGGACUAACUAAUAUUAACAAUGUCAACAAUUAUAAAGAUACCCAGUCCUAAACCAAUGUAAUUAAAAGAAUAAAUGGAACAUUGCAUCUAAUUGAUUAUAUCAUAUAUACACAGAUUUUAUAAUUGAUAGAAAAGGACUGAAUAUAGUUUCACUGUUCUUGCAUAUUUAAUUUUAUAUUUGGAAAAAAUGUGAUAUGUUCUGUUAUCUAUUCUAUAAUGCUCUGGCUAAUUUCUUACUCUUGCUGUUUGGUUGAUUACAGUUACCGCAACUCUCUUAAAUUUUGUAAGGUUGUUCCGGAAAUCGCAUGAAGAGAAUAUUAAAGAAGCAGAGUUAGAGAAGAAGAAAGCUGAGAAAGAGGCUGAAAUGGACAAGGCUAAAGGCAUUAACUUGACAAAGAAGGGUGCAAAAGAUAGAGAAGAAGAAACCGGAGAAAGCUGAGAAAGAGGCUGUAAUGGAGAAGGCCAAGGGAAUAACUUGACAAGGUAGAGUGCAAAAGAUAGAAGAAGACUCCAGUCAGAUCCUUUGCACCUACAUGAUGCUCUUGCCUAAGAGCACAGAUCUACCUGUGGAUAAGGGGACUGCUUUUGGAAUCGACUGAGGCAGCCUCUUUUCCCGACGAUGAUGUGACAAUUAGCCUCUCAAGGUGAGCUGUUGAGUUGCAGUAGAAAAUUCUUGCCACCUGCAGAUCUUUGAACAUACAAAAGGCUUAGGAGUUUAUUGUUUCGCGGCAUGUUGUUGAAACAAAAUUAUUUGAUCUAAAAUGGCAAAAUACUCUGGAAAAAAGGCCAAGAUUAGAUACAGCAUGGAUGGUUAUUGCAAUGGCUUGUGAGUUAUCUGCAUCCAGUGAAUGCUAUGAAGAUGAUGGUCUGGUCUUUCUCAUUGCAAGAAGAAAUUUUGUUGUAGAACAUGUCUACUGGCUUUGGAUUUCAUCAUUCAUUUGGUAUAUUUUUUCCCAGCACCAGAGCACGGUAUUACCACGAAACCUUGUACAGAGUUCUAACCAAUUCUUUCUCAUGUAACAAAAAUUAGUUUCUAUUUUUAUUCCAGUAGAAUUUUGUAGGAUAUCUUCAAGAGCAUGUUGUAUAGCUGUCAGGUUGAGAAAUAGAAAUCAGGUCUCUGUAUUGUAACUGUAUCAUAAGUGAAGAGCAGGCCGAGUUAGAAGUAUUGAUAGUUUCAUUAUCUUGUUAAAUCCAAUGCACAGUGUAUGAACUGUAGAAGGUUCUUGUUUCAUUAAGUUACCCAUGUCCAGCUCAUAAAAUUGAGCACUUCGGACUAUGGACAGACAGAGGGGUGUAAGCAGUUUCAGUUUAUAAACUGCGAAACAUGUGGGAUCAAACCAAACAAAACCAGAAAACGUUGUCUUGUUCAGUUUGGGGACGUCCUUCCUGAACAAGAUAGUAGAAACAUUUCAAACUUGCAAAGAUAGUGUAGCAUUAGCUAUUGUAUGGGGAUGUCCUUCCU